rnacentral:vault_RNA from 1 species
GGGUCAGCAUUAGCUCAUACGGUUACUUCCUCACACUGAACUUUCCAUCCAUCUAAUCCCUGCACCGGGGUUCGAGACCUGUGGGUGCUUUCUGACCCUUUA